AUUGAACGCUAGCGGCAUGCUUUACACAUGCAAGUCGAACGGUAACAGGCCUUCGGGUGCUGACGAGUGGCGAACGGGUGAGUAAUGCAUCGGAACGUACCCAGAGGUGGGGGAUAACGCAGCGAAAGCUGUGCUAAUACCGCAUGUGAUCUGAGGAUGAAAGCGGGGGACCGAGCAGCAAUGUUUGGCCUCGCGCCUUUGGAGCGGCCGAUGUCGGAUUAGCUAGUUGGUGGGGUAAAGGCCUACCAAGGCGACGAUCCGUAGCUGGUCUGAGAGGACGGCCAGCCACACUGGGACUGAGACACGGCCCAGACUCCUACGGGAGGCAGCAGUGGGGAAUUUUGGACAAUGGGCGCAAGCCUGAUCCAGCAAUGCCGCGUGCGGGAAGAAGGCCUUCGGGUUGUAAACCGCUUUUGGCAGGAACGAAACGGUGUCCGCUAAUACCGGGCGCUAAUGACGGUACCUGCAGAAUAAGCACCGGCUAACUACGUG
rnacentral:rRNA from 1 species